CUUGGAUUAUACGUCAAACCACAAUACUAAUGUAAUAAUAAUAAUCAUGUCGAAUGCCCAGUGCUUCCCUGGAUGUGGGUGCCCAUCGCAGUCUGUCAGGCUCUUCCUGAACUAGUUUCAUCAUGGACCUUCCAGGGUCUGCAGACACCUCAUCUUUCAGCAGCGUGACGGCCACCCUCUACGCCUUGGAAACAGAUGAACAAGAUGUUAUGGAUUCUGUGUCGUGCAACCAGGAGAUGUUGGUGUAAAAGGACAGGAGACCAGGACGUGUACGUUUGAGGUCCUCACCCCCUUGCCUGCAUCCUGCUGUGGUUGGCAGAGCUGAGACCCCAGCGUCUGGGACUGUUUGUGUGGUGGCCUGAGAGGAACAAACCAGGGCCCCUUCUGCAGGUGCGCAGACUCUGUAGGACGUCCGCUCGGAUAAGAAACAUCCUGACACCCUUCCCGGGAGAACCAUAGGGUGACAAGGAGGCUCCCGGGGACCGUGGACCAGCACGAGGAAGAGAGCUGCCAGAGGGUCAGAGAUUCCUGACCCCCUUCAUCGCAGUUGCAGGAGAGGUGAUGAUUACGGUGUGAACCCACAAGACGAUUUGUGGGUCCUGGUGGCCCGUGGCUCAGAUCACUGUGUGAAGAUGGGGGCAUGUGGUCCCAGUGGAAGACCCUGCUUAUUCAAACAGCUCACUAUUAUGUCGUGUAUAAGAGUGUCCUGGGCGGCUGUAACACAGGACCACAAACUGGGAGUCUGAAAAGAGCAGAAAUUCAUCCAGCCCCCGGUCCUGGAGACCAGACGUCUGAGGUCAAGGUGUCCCAGGGCUGUGCUCCCUCCAGAGGCCCCAAGGGAGGGUCCUUCCUGCCUCUUCCAGCUUCUGGGGGCUUCAGGGGUCCCUGGGCUUGUGGCCGCCACCCUCAUCCAAGAGGACCUCAUCUCAGACCCUUCACUUCCAUCCGGAUAAUCAAGAAUGAUCUCUUCAUCUCAAGAUCCUUCAUUAGUUACAUCUGCCAAGACCCUUUUGCCAACAAAGUCAUAUCCACAGGUAACAGGGUUUAGGAAGUGGUCAUAUCUUUUUGGUAGAAAGUAUUCAAUCCACUGCAUGGUACAUGAACUGGAUACUUGGAAACUCAGGAAACAUCCAUUCCUUUUCUGGUGACCUGGAAAACCAUGGAGGUCACGGCUUCUUCUAUAUGUACCCAAGGCCGCUUUCCUGGGCGAGUGACCCAUGUAGCUUACAUGGGACCCUGGGCUCAUAAGGACGCCUAUUGGCUUAAUGCCCUAUGACCGCCAUCUUGAAAUUCUUAAUGAAGCGUGAACAAGGACCCACAUUUUCAUUUUGCCCUGGAACUGCCAAUGCGAUAGCCCUCUUUGCUCACAUUCCUUCCAACCUCAAGAAAGAGGAGCAAGUCUGCAGCCAAUAAGGACACCCCCACCCCCAGCACACCCUCCAUCCAGCCACUGAUGUGCUCAAGCCAUGGGUGGUGAAGACCUCUCCCCAAGAUCCAGUAAGGCUAGUGGGUUUUGGCUGCACAUUGGGGGAGCCUCUGAAAACCACUAAUGCUCAGCUCCACCAUCAACAGAAUCCCCAAGUUCGUUCCUCUGGGUACCAGCAUUUAUUAGACCUCCUCAAGCCAUCCUCUUGUUCAGGCAAGUUUGAGACCCUCUGGGCCAGGCAAAUGCAGACUGAAGCUUCCAGCCCUGGGCGCCAGCCCCCCCCAAAACUGCUCAGAUGUUCUGCUAAGCCCUACAGCCCCGACUGAUGUGUUUCAGAACUAGAAUUACUUUGUAUGUUAAAACCAAGAUGGAGACAUGCCUUGUCUAAUACUUCCGGACAGCUAGGAUGAUGUACUUCAAAGCAGGAUCUUGACUUCCAGGAAGAUCCCAACCUUUGAGCAUUUGCACAUCACUGGAGAGUCCUUUACGGCUUGAGGUCAUAGUACACAAGUGCCAGCUACUCCUAGCGGCAUCACAAAGUUGGUUCCCAAGUACAGCCUCAGGAUGAGGAGGCAGGGUGAGUCCUGGCCAAUCCGACAUCCUCUGUCACUUUGAGAACAAGCUUGCUGGCCCCUGAAAGAUGCUGCAGUCCCUGGGCGAAGAUAGGCUCUGAGAGCAAUUUGGACCGUGUAGGACCCUGGCCUCACAUGGCCCCUCCUCAUUGCAUGACCGCCCUUAUGUCACUCGUCCACCAGGGGAGAGAGAGGACACAGUUCUGGAGAAGUUACCAUGUUCCCUCGACACCUGAUUGUGGAACAUACCUCAGAGCUCAGAGACACUUCCCAGCAGCUGGAGAAGUCUCGUGGACCACUGGGAUUCCACAUAGAAGCAAUAUCAUAUGGUAUUUGUCUUUGUCUGGCUUACUUCACCUAGUCUGAUCAUCUCUAGGUCCAUCCAUGUUGCUGCAAAUGGCAUUAUUUCAUUCUUUUUAUGGCUGAGUAAUAUUCCAUUGUAUAUAUGUACCACAUCUAAAAAGAAGGUGAAUUCUGCCCACAAGAACGAAGUUGGAAGAGAAGCUCGACCUUCCAGUGAAAAUACAGACCUUAACAACUAGUUAAAAUAUCAAGUAUGAUCUACUCCACUCAAGGGGAUUUCAACCCAAUAGCCGAAACUCAGUCCCUCAACUUUAUGGAAGACCCUAUUGAAUACGCAGAAAAUGGAAGUGGGAUGGUCCAAAUCCACAGAGACGAACUCCCGUGCCAUCUGCAGAAUCGUUGACUCAGUCCCUGGACUGAGCAUCUCCCUAAGAGACCGCAAACUCCGGCAAAGAAGGACUCAAGUGUCUUCGGCUCACCUUCCAAAGGGGAGCAGUAUCUCUACCUGCUGCCCUGUCUGGCUCGAUCCGUGAGAAGCAGCUGAAGGAGGGUUGCCAACAUCCCGGCAUGCGGAACACGGUGCAGGGAUUCGGAUGCACCGUGGCUUACGUUCCGGGG